rnacentral:rRNA from 1 species
UACGGGGGGAGCAAGCGUUGUUCGGAUUUACUGGGCGUAAAGAGCGCGUAGGCGGCGCAACAAGUCACUUGUGAAAUCUCCGGGCUUAACCCGGAGCGGCCAAGUGAUACUGUCGUGCUAGAGUGCGGAAGGGGCUACUGGAAUUCUCGGUGUAGCGGUGAAAUGCGUAGAUAUCGAGAGGAACACCUGCGGCGAAGGCGGGUAGCUGGGCCGACACUGACGCUGAUGCGCGAAAGCCAGGGGAGCGAACGGG